GACUGGGGCGGUCGCCUCCCAAAGAGUAACGGAGGCGUGCGAAGGUGGGCUCAGGCCGGUCGGAAAUCGGUCGUCGAGUGCAAUGGCAUAAGCCUGCCUGACUGCAAGACGUACAUGUCGAGCAGAGACGAAAGUCGGCCAUAGUGAUCCGGUGGUCCCGUGUGGAAGGGCCAUCGCUCAACGGAUAAAAGGUACGCCGGGGAUAACAGGCUGAUACUGCCCAAGAGCUCAUAUCGACGGCA
rnacentral:rRNA from 11 species